UACGGAGGGUGCGAGCGUUGUCCGGAAUCACUGGGCGUAAAGGGUGCGUAGGUGGCUCGUUAAGUGGCUGGUGAAAUCCCGGGGCUCAACUCCGGGGCUGCCGGUCAGACUGGCGGGCUCGAGCACGGUAGAGGCAGAUGGAAUUCCCGGUGUAGCGGUGGAAUGCGUAGAUAUCGGGAAGAAUACCGGUGGCGAAGGCGUUCUGCUGGACCGUUGCUGACACUGAGGCACGACAGCGUGGGGAGCAAACAGG
rnacentral:rRNA from 1 species